rnacentral:lncRNA from 1 species
CUUUGCUAAAAUCUGAGAACAUCUGUUCCCUAAAAGAAAACUUGUGGCUACGAAUAAGAAAUAAAAAUCAACAUCUGUAUAGAGUACUUUCUCAAACCAUGACACAGAAACUUUGGAGAUAACAUACGUUCUGUGUGAGCACUCUCUUGAGUUAUCUGGUUUACCUGCCUUCAAGUAAUGAAUUGUUACAACCAAUGUGGACAUGGGGCUCUAAGGCAUGGAGCUGCAUAAUUUGGGCAAAUUCUCCAGUUGGCCUCUGGUUGGCAAUAAAGACUUUCUUUUGGGCUUUAAGAAUGGCCAUACAGUGGACUCCGCCAACAUGACCCCUUCCACGGCGGAUGGCGUAAAGCACACAAGUGGCGUUGGGGCUCAGGCAGCUUUUGGCGGAAAGAUUUAUUGUAACAGAACCCCUACCCAGUGAGGAGACUACCAGGAGAGACAAGACCAUCCAGAGCUUUGGACAUUGAAGUCCUGGCCCACAAACAACACUGCGUCACAAGAGAAGAUAGAGAAACCCCACCUGCACCCACAGGAAGAAGAUAAGGGAAGAAGACAGAAUAAGAACACACUCAACAAAAGAAAGACCAAUAUGACAUAACCAGAAUCUAGGGACUCCACUAAAGCAAGAUCUGAAAAGCCCAACACAGAGGAUGAAGAAGAGAUGGACCUCAAAAAUUAUCUUAGGAAGAUGAUAGAGACUUUUCAAGAGCAAACAAGAAAAUCCCUUAAAGAAAUAGAAGAAAAACUUCUAUUCUAAGCAAAAAAUUACAUGAAGUGGAGGAAAAGACAAACCAAAAAAAUCAAGAAAUAAACAAAUCUCUCAAAGAAUCUAAAGAAACCCAAGAAAAACCAACCAAACAAGUGAAGGAAGCACUAGAAACAGUUCAAGGCAUGAAAGCUGAAAUAGACACAAUAAAGAAAACACAGAAUGAGGCAAUGCUGGAAAUAGAAAGACUGGAUAAAAGAUCAGGAACUAAAGAUGUGAGUAUAACUAAUAGAAUUUAAG